rnacentral:rRNA from 1 species
GAUGAACGCUGGCGGCGUGCCUAAUACAUGCAAGUCGAGCGAAUGGAUUAAGAGCUUGCUCUUAUGAAGUUAGCGGCGGACGGGUGAGUAACACGUGGGUAACCUGCCCAUAAGACUGGGAUAACUCCGGGAAACCGGGGCUAAUACCGGAUAACAUUUUGAACCGCAUGGUUCGAAAUUGAAAGGCGGCUUCGGCUGUCACUUAUGGAUGGACCCGCGUCGCAGUAGCUAGUUGGUGAGGUAACGGCUCACCAAGGCAACGAUGCGUAGCCGACCGGAGAGGGUGAUCGGUCACACUGGGACUGAGACAGGGCCCAGACUCCUACGGGAGGCAGCAGUAGAGAAGCUUCCGCAAUGGACGAAAGUCUGACGGAGCAACGCCGCGUGAGUGAUGAAGGCUUUCGGGUCGUAAAACUCUGUUGUUAGGGAAGAACAAGUGCUAGUUGAAUAAGCUGGCACCUUGACGGUACCUAACCAGAAAGCCACGGCUAACUACGUGCCAGCCGCCGCCGUAA